GACGGAGGAUGCAAGUGUUAUCCGGAAUCACUGGGCGUAAAGCGUCUGUAGGUGGUCCAGUAAGUCAACUGUUAAAUCUUGAGGCUCAACCUCGAAAUCGCAGUCGAAACUAUUAGACUAGAGUAUAGUAGGGGUAAAGGGAAUUUCCAGUGGAGCGGUGAAAUGCGUAGAGAUUGGAAAGAACACCGAUGGCGAAGGCACUUUACUGGGCUAUUACUAACACUCAGAGACGAAAGCUAGGGUAGCAAAUGGG
rnacentral:rRNA from 1 species